rnacentral:rRNA from 1 species
UACGGAGGGGGCUAGCGUUGUUCGGAAUUACUGGGCGUAAAGCGCACGUAGGCGGCUUUGUAAGUCAGAGGUGAAAGCCCGGAGCUUAACUCCGGAAUUGCCUUUGAGACUGCAUCGCUCGAAUCCAGGAGAGGUGAGUGGAAUUCCGAGUGUAGAGGUGAAAUUCGUAGAUAUUAGGAAGAACACCAGUGGCGAAGGCGGCUCACUGGUCCGGAACUGACGCUGAGGUGCGAAAGCGUGGGGAGCAACAGG